CCUACGGGAGGCAGCAGUCGAGGAUCUUCGGCAAUGCGCGCAAGCGCGACCGAGCGACGCCGCGUGGGCGAUGAAGGCCUUCGGGUUGUAAAGCCCUGUCGAGGGGGAGAAAAGGGUAAAACUUUGAUCUAUCCCUGGAGGAAGCUCGGGCUAAGUUCGUGCCAGCAGCCGCGGUAAGACGAACCGAGCGAACGUUGUUCGGAAUCACUGGGCUUAAAGGGUGCGUAGGCGGGCUGCCAAGUUUGAGGUGAAAUCCUCCGGCUCAACCGGGGAAGUGCCUUGAAUACUGGCGGUCUGGAGGGAGGUAGGGGCGUGCGGAACUAACGGUGGAGCGGUGAAAUGCGUUGAUAUCGUUAGGAACUCCGGUGGCGAAGGCGGCACGCUGGACCUUUACUGACGCUGAGGCACGAAAGCCAGGGGAGCGAACGGGAUUAGAUACCCCUGUAGUC
rnacentral:rRNA from 1 species